GACUUCGUGGUGUAAUAGUAACAUACUCGACGCGUGUUUGAGAGGUCCAGGUUCGAGUCCCGGCGUGGGCA
rnacentral:tRNA from 1 species